rnacentral:rRNA from 1 species
CCUACGGGAGGCAGCAGUGAGGAAUAUUGGUCAAUGGGCGCGAGCCUGAACCAGCCAAGCAGGGUGAAGGAUGACUGCCCUACGGGUUGUACACUUCUUUUAUAAAGGAAUAAAGUGAGGCACGUGUGCCUUUUUGUAUGUACUUUAUGAAUAAGGAUCGGCUAACUCCGUGCCAGCAGCCGCGGUAAUAUGGAAGGUCCGGGCGUUAUCCGGAUUUAUUGGGUUGAAGGGGAGCGUAGGCCGCAUGUCAAGCGUGCUGUGAAAUGUCCGGGCUCAACCCGGGCCUUGCAGCGCGAACUGGCGUGCUUGAGUCCGCGGAAAGCAGGCGGAAUUCGUUGUGUAGCGGUGAAAUGCUUAGAUAUGACGAAGAACCCCGAUUGCGAAGGCAGCUUGCUGCAGCGGAACUGACGCUGAUGCUCGAAAGCGCGGGUAUCGAACAGGAUUAGAUACCCCUGUAGUC